rnacentral:rRNA from 1 species
UGGGGAAUAUUGGACAAUGGGCGCAAGCCUGAUCCAGCCAUGCCGCGUGAGUGAUGAAGGCCUUAGGGUUGUAAAGCUCUUUCGCCGAGGACGAUAAUGACGGUACUCGGAUAAGAAGCCCCGGCUAACUUCGUGCCAGCAGCCGCGGUAAUACGAAGGGGGCUAGCGUUGUUCGGAAUUACUGGGCGUAAAGCGUAUGCAGGCGGAUCUUUAAGUCAGGGGUGAAAUCCUGAGGCUCAACCUCAGAACUGCCUUUGAUACUGGAGAUCUUGAGUCCGGGAGAGGUUAGUGGAACUGCGAGUGUAGAGGUGAAAUUCGUAGAUAUUCGCAAGAACACCAGUGGCGAAGGCGGCUAACUGGCCCGGUACUGACGCUGAGAUACGAAAGCGUGGGGAGCAAACAG